rnacentral:rRNA from 1 species
AUUGGACAAUGGGCGCAAGCCUGAUCCAGCCAUGCCGCGUGAGUGAUGAAGGCCGUAGGGUUGUAAAGCUCUUUCAGUUGGGAAGAUAAUGACGGUACCCAAACAAGAAACCCCGGCGAACUUCGUGCCAGCAGCCCCGGGAAUACCAAGGGGGCUAGCGUUGUUCGGAUUUACUGGGCGUAAAGCGCACGUAGGCGGAUUGGUCAGUUAGGAGUGAAAUCCCGGAGCUCAACUCCGGAACUGCCUUUAAUACUGCCAGUCUAGAGUCCGAGAGGGGUGAGUGGAACUCCUAGUGUAGAGGUGGAAUUCGUAGAUAUUAGGAAGAACACCAGUGGCGAAGGCGGCUCACUGGCUCGGUACUGACGCUGAGGUGCGAAAGCGUGGGGAGCAAAC